rnacentral:rRNA from 1 species
AUUGAACGCUGGCGGCAUGCUUUACACAUGCAAGUCGAACGGCAGCGGGGCGUUCGGUCCGCCGGCGAGUGGCGAACGGGUGAGUAAUGCAUCGGAACGUGCCCAGUCGUGGGGGAGUAACACAUCGAAAGAUGUGCUAAUACCGCAUACGUCCUGAGGGAGAAAGCGGGGGAGUCUUCGGACCUCGCGCGAUUGGAGCGGCCGAUGUCGGAUUAGCUAGUUGGUGGGGUAAAAGCCCACCAAGGCGACGAUCCGUAGCGGGUCUGAGAGGAUGAUCCGCCACACUGGGACUGAGACACGGCCCAGACUCCUACGGGAGGCAGCAGUGGGGAAUUUUGGACAAUGGGGGCAACCCUGAUCCAGCCAUGCCGCGUGAGUGAAGAAGG